rnacentral:rRNA from 1 species
ACACCGGCAGCUCAAGUGGUAGCAGCUUUUAUUGGGCCUAAAGCGUUCGUAGCCGGCCUGAUAAGUCUCUGGUGAAAUCCCGCAGCUUAACUGUGGGAAUUGCUGGAGAUACUAUCAGGCUUGAGGUCGGGAGAGGUUAGAGGUACUCCCAGGGUAGGGGUGAAAUCCUGUAAUCCUGGGAGGACCACCUGUGGCGAAGGCGUCCAGCUGGAACGAACCUGACGGUGAGGGACGAAAGCCAGGGGCGCGAACCGGAUUAGAUACCCGGGUAGUCCUGGCCGUAAACGAUGUGGACUUGGUGUUGGGAUGGCUUCGAGCUGCCCCAGUGCCGAAGGGAAGCUGUUAAGGCCACCGCCUGGGAAGUACGGCCGCAAGGCUGAAACUUAAAGGAAUUGACGGGG